rnacentral:rRNA from 1 species
GACGAACGCUGGCGGCGUGCUUAACACAUGCAAGUCGAACGGAAAGGCCCUCCUAUUGUGGUGUGCUCGAUUGGCGAACGGGUGAGUAACACGUGAGUAACCUCCCCUUGACUUUGGGAUAACUUCAAGAAACUGGGGCUAAUACCGAAUAGGAGCUCCUGCGGCAUAGUGGGGGUUGGAAAGUUGGGGCGGAUGUGGAUGUGCUCGCUGCUUAUCAGCUUGUUGGUGGUGUAGUGGCUUACGAAGGCUUUGACGGGUAGCAGGCCUGAGAGGGUGACCGGGCAACUUGGGACUGAGCUACGGCCGAGACUCCUACGGGAGGUAGGAGUGGGGAAUAUUGCAUAAUGGGCGGAAGCCUGAUGAAGCAACGCCGCGUGAGGGAUGACGGCCUUCGGGUUGUCAACAGCUUUCGCCUGUGACGAAGCGUGAGUGACGGUAAUGUAUAAAGAAGCACCGGCUAACUACGUG